ACUCCUAUAGUUUAAUGGAAAAACACUGGUAGUACAUGCACCAGAGAUUGAUAGUUCGAUUCUAUCUAGGAGAUC
rnacentral:tRNA from 1 species